ensembl:lncRNA
CUAGGAAAAACUCCCUAGAAAGGCCAAAACCUAGGAAGAAACCUAGAGAGGAACCAGGCUAUGUGGGGUGGCCAGUCCUCUUCUGGCUGUGCCGGGUGGAGAUUAUAACAGAACAUGGCCAAGAUGAUUAGGUUAAUGGGGAGAGAUGGGAGGUAGUUAGAUAUGAGGAGAGAUUGGAGGUAGUUAGAUACUGGAUAAUUAGGUUAAUGGGGAGAGAUGGGAGGUAGUUAGAUAUGAGGAGAGAUUGGAGGUAGAUACUGGAAAAUCAGGUUAACGGUGGGAUAUGAGGAGAGAUGGGAGGUAGUUAGAUACUGGAGAAUCAGGUUAAUGGGGAGAGACGGGAGGUAGUUAGAUACUGGAGAAUCAGGUUAACGGUGGGAUAUGAGGAGAGAUGGGAGGUAGUUAGAUACUGGAGAAUCAGGUUAAUGGGGAGAGAUGGGAGGUAGUUAGAUACUGGAGAAUCAGGUUAAUGGGGAGAGAUGGGAGGUAGUUAGAUACUGGAGAAUCAGGUUAAUGGGGAGAGAUGGGAGGUAGUUAGAUACUGGAGAAUCAGGUUAACGAGGGGAUAUGAGGAGAGAUGGGAGGUAGUUAGAUACUGGAGAAUCAGGUUAAUGGGGAGAGAUGGGAGGUAGUUAGAUAUGAAGAGAGAUGGAAGGUAGUUAGAAGAUAUAAAAUGUGAAGAUUUUAACACUGAUGCCAAAGACACACUUUGAAACACCUUCACGACAGAAGCUCAAGCAGAUGGAAAAUGUGAGAUUUGACUCUGAAAGAAAUGAAUGUUUUGUCCUGAAUAGAAUGUUGCCAUUUAUAUGUCAGAGCAAAAGCUCAGCAGGAAAAUACUGUAUUACUAGAUUGGGAAUCAAAACUGUCCCCUGGGAUAUUUUUGGCAGCACAACACCGUGUCAUCUGAAUGUUAAAUCGUGAUUUAUACUGUCUAUUUACAUUUAAUUCAGACAAGAGCUGAAAUAUUAGUAACAUGCUUGUCUCUAUGGUAAUAUACAGUAUAUUAUAAUGGUAACAUAUCAUGCUUGUCUCUAUGGUAAUAUACAGUAUAUUAUAAUAUUAGUAACAUAUCAUGCUUGUCUCUAUGGUAAUAUACGGUAUAUUAUAAUAUUAGUAACAUGCUUGUCUCUCUGGUAAUAUACAGUAUAUUAUAAUAUUAGUAACAUGCUUGUCUCUAUGGUAAUAUACAGUAUAUUAUAAUAUUAGUAACAUGCUUGUCUCUAUGGUAAUAUACAGUAUAUUAUAAUAUUAGUAACAUGCUUGUCUCUAUGGUAAUAUACAGUAUAUUAUAAUGGUAACAUAUCAUGCUUGUCUCUAUGGUAAUAUACAGUAUAUUAUAAUAUUAGUAACAUGCUUGUCUCAUUGGUAAUAUACAGUAUAUUAUAAUAUUAGUAACAUGCUUGUCUCUAUGGUAAUAUACAGUAUAUUAUAAUAUUAGUAACAUGCUUGUCUCUAUGGUAAUACAGUAUAUUAUAAUAUUAGUAACAUGCUUGUCUCUAUGGUAAUAUACAGUAUAUUAUAAUAUUAGUAACAUAUCAUGCUUGUCUCUAUGGUAAUAUACAGUAUAUUAUAAUAUUAGUAACAUAUCAUGCUUGUCUCUAUGGUAAUAUACAGUAUAUUAUAAUAUUAGUAACAUGCUUGUCUCUAUGGUAAUAUACAGUAUAUUAUAAUAUUAGUAUCAUGCUUGUCUCUAUGGUAAUACAGUAUAUUAUAAUAUUAGUAACAUGCUUGUCUCUAUGGUAAUAUACAGUAUAUUAUAAUAUUAGUAACAUGCUUGUCUCUAUGGUAAUAUACAGUAUAUUAUAAUGGUAACAUAUCAUGCUUGUCUCUAUGGUAAUAUACAGUAUAUUAUAAUAUUAGUAACAUGCUUGUCUCUAUGGUAAUAUACAGUAUAUUAUAAUAUUAGUAACAUAUCAUGCUUGUCUCUGGUAAUAUACAGUAUAUUAUAAUAUUAGUAACAUGCUUGUCUCUAUGGUAAUAUACAGUAUAUUAUAGCAUUAUAGAGAUAUAUGGAGUGCAGGACUAGGACUAUAGACAGUAUAUUAUAGCGUUAUGGAGAUAUAUGGAGUGCAGGACUAGGACUAUAGACAGUAUAUUAUAGCGUUAUGGAGAUAUAUGGAGUGCAGGACUAGGACUAUAGACAGUAUAUUAUAGCGUUAUGGAGAUAUAUGGAGUGCAGGACUAGGAGUAUAUACAAGCCAGCGUCACUGUAUUACAAUUAAUAGCUAUUGAGUUAAUGAAUAUAUUUAUUCCAUAUCAUGAUUAUGUCUUUCACUACUGUAGAGAGAGAAUUCUCCCCUUUAAAAACUUCUAGUAUGUGCUUGGCCAUUCUGAGCCUUAUGAGUCGAUGGUCUACCAUUCUGAGCCUUAUGAGUCGAUGGUCUACCAUUCUGAGCCUUAUGAAUGGAUGGUCUACCAUUCUGAGCCUUAUGAAUGGAUGGUCUACCAUUCUGAGCCUUGUGGAUGGAUGGUCUACCAUUCUGAGCCUUGUGGAUGGAUGGUCUACCAUUCUGAGCCUUGUGGAUG